CCUACGCGAGGCUGCAGUGGGGAAUAUUGCACAAUGUGGGAAACCCUGAUGCAGCAACGCCGCGUGAGUGCAGAAGUAUUUCGGUAUGUAAAGCUCUAUCAGUAGGGACGAAGAAAGACGGUACCUGACUAAGAAGCCCCGGCUAACUACGUGCCAGCAGCCGCGGUAAUACGUAGGGGGCAAGCGUUAUCCGGAUUGACUGGGUGUAAAGGGAGCGUAGACGGCUGUGCAAGUCUGAAGUGAAAGCCCGUGGCUCAACCGCGGAACUGCGUUGGAAACUGUAUAGCUGGAGUACUGGAGAGGCAGGCGGAAUUCCUAGUGUAGCGGGGAAAUGCGUAGAGAUUAGGAGGAACACCAGUGGCGAAGGCGGCCUGCUGGACAGAAACUGACGUUGAGGCUCGAAAGCGUGGGGAGCAAACAGGAUUAGAUACCCGAGUAGUC
rnacentral:rRNA from 1 species